GAAGAGGAAAAUAGAUUAAAAGAAAGAAAAAGGAGAGGAGGACGUUUUUUGCAGGAAAGAAACGCCAUAUAUGCACAAACUCGUGCGUGGGGAAGGACGCAGUGGCGGGAAGAAAAAUGCUACGAAAAUUGUGGUCACAUGUGGUGCGAGAACCGCCAACAACGCAGGGAUUUUGGGCAGCGUGGGAGACACAAGAAUUUUAGGCAGCGUGGAAGUUUCGAGCAGCGCGGAAGCCGCGGGCAGCGCGAAAGCCGCGGGCAGCGCGGAAGCCGCGGGCAGCACGGAAGCCGUGAGCAGUGCAGGUGCUAUGGCCAUAGGUAUCGCCAAUGCUUUUCAAAAUGGCAUGAAGGAUCGCGAGGCCCGAUAAAAGUCUCUUACAAAAUAUAUGAUUAAAUACGCAUCACAACGUCGUCGACCAAUGCCAAUUUUAGUUUACAAUUGCGUAUUUAUAUUAAAAAUAUGAUUUCGUACAAGACUAGGAUAAUACGUAAUUAUUAUUUCGUUAAUUGUGAUCGCCUUGAGCGUCGUUUUUUCUUUUUUUCCAUAUUGUU